rnacentral:rRNA from 1 species
GACGAACGCUGGCGGCGUGCUUAACACAUGCAAGUCGAACGAUGAACCCGGAGCUUGCUCCGGUGGAUUAGUGGCGAACGGGUGAGUACACGUGAGUAACCUGCCCUUGACUCUGGGAUAACUGCGGGAAAACGUAGCUAAUACCGGAUACGACCCUCGGCGGCCACGCCCGGGGGUGGGAAGAAAUUCGGUCAAGGAUGGACUCGCGGCCUAUCAGCUAGUUGGUGAGGUAACGGCUCACCAAGGCGACGACGGGUAGCCGGCCUGAGAGGGUGACCGGCCACACUGGGACUGAGACACGGCCCAGACUCCUACGGGAGGCAGCAGUGGGGAAUAUUGCACAAUGGGCGCAAGCCUGAUGCAACAACGCCGCGUGAGGGAUGACGGCCUUCGGGUUGUAAACCUCUUUUAGUAGGGAAGAAGCGAAAGUGACGGUACCUGCAGAAAAAGCACCGGCUAACUACGUGCCAGCCGCCGCAGUAA